rnacentral:misc_RNA from 1 species
CGAAACGUCGAUACCUUAUAAAUCGUUGCGUAAUUAUUACGUAUCGUGGCGCGAUUAUUGCCGCACGAACCGAGAACGCGGCCAGGGAACGAGAGGAGACGAAAGGCGGCAGACAAAGACCGGAAACGGAAGAGAGUGGGGUAACAAGCCACAGAGUAGACUCGUUUCGUUCGUUCGGUUAGUCCAGGAUUAUCGCGAUAAUCAUCGUCGGGGAAGCUCCAAGAUAUAGAAGGAGACUAUGCUCGACGAAUAAACUAGGAUGUCGGGUAACAUUGUCGAGAAGCGGGAGCGAGAGAUAACGGCGUUCAUCUUUCUCGCGUAUAAACCGAGAGCUCGGUUUUCGCCGCUCGUCGCUCGCUACCGUGGAAAGAAUUCUCGCAAGAUGGCGGAAAGAUUCGAGGCAGACAUGCGAUCCGAUUUCCUGUGCUCUCCCUACCGAUGCCCUGCCGAACAACACAACGUAUCAUCAGCCCUGUCGAUCUAGAAGAAACAAUCGUUGUUUGCUGCGCUGCCGCGCGUCCCUUGCCAUCGCGGAAACACCGGAAAGCACGAUCGGCCAACGGAUUCUUUCGAAACUGCAGCAACACCUCGACGGACGCGACGGCGCGUUCUUUCAGCGGACGCUGCUGCGUUCUUUUUCCAUCCUCCGCGUUGCACGAGAACCGAUCGAUCGUAGGCAUCGUAGGCAUCGUUGGCCGACGAGGCGGCCUCUCAGGUUUGCUUUGCAGUGUGUAAACAGGCAGAAAAAGAGGACAGAGGGGAACAUUGCGUUCGCGCUCGAGGGACGAACCGACAGAGAUAGAGAAACAGAGAGAAACGGAGAGAGAGCGCGAGUUAGGGAAGAAACGGAAGAAAGGAAACCGGAGAGAAGGGAGAUCACGGUGGAUGCUAAGGACGAGAAAAACUACAAACAACGGAUGGGUAAGAGACGGUGGAAACGAGAAACGACGAGGGAUGAUGAGGCGAACGAAGGGCGAACAGGCGCGACCAGACCUCGUUCUAUGUUACGUUACAUAGCGACAUAUCCGAGCGCGACGAUUCUAACGCGUGACAGAGAAAAACGAAACGGCAAGCGGAGGAGGAGGAGGAAGAAGCGGAACGGGCACGGGACUGUCGGCACGACAGCGAGCAAGACAGGCGAGAGAGUGCGAGCGAAACGGUGAAAGGAUAGUACAGAGGGAGGAUGGGCAGACAGGCGAGAAAGAGAGGGUGCGAACGCGUUGCAUCUCGAGCGUCGGCAGGUUAUCCGGGGGCGAGGGUGGCACCACGGGCAUUAAAUAUACACGCUGAUUUGUCGUCCGCGGAUUGUCACCUCUGAUAGCUUUCAUUUUGUUGUAUAUCGGUGGCGGGCGCGCUCGCCCCGCACGCGCUCCGCGCUUUUCCACGUAAUUCGGCCCGCUUGAUUGACUUUUGAGCUGGCCUUUAUGGCGAUAUUCGUUGCGCCAACGAAUGCGCCAGCGCUCGAAUCCGUUCCCCAUCCCGCCUCCUCCACCCCCUGCCGCCUCCCUAAACGUCUCUAGUAGAUUUAUCGGACAGCGAACGCGUGUCCUGGCGAUUUUUCGUUCGGUCCGGUCAUAGCUCGUCAUCGAAACCGUGACGCCUGCCCGUCUACCUUUUCGUCGCGCGAUCACAGCCGGAGGCGGCGCGCGGUUCCCGCCAACGCGCGACGUCCUUCUUCCGACAGGUUUUCAGGCGUUUCGAACGCUCGUGUCAACCGUGUGAACGCGACCGACCGAAGGACACGCGCCAAUUGCCGCCGAUUGACGCGUUUCCAUCGCGUCGUAACGUCUAAUUUUUGGCAAGUUGAACGGGGUCGAUGGCGGAGAUCGCUGGUCGCCACUCGUCCAACGAGAUGGUCGCCGGCGACGGCGGACUUUGUUCGCGGUUCUCGCGAAUCGCGAGCGCCUCUGCGCUGUUUCAUCAACAUCGUCGACCUGUCUUUCAAUAAUCGGUAAUCGCGAUCGCGUAUUUGUUUAAAGUGGCAGGAAUUCCGCUGGUAUUGUCUGCCGGUGAAAACAAGGCUCGCGCUGGCCGCGCGCCGCUUGUAUUCCGAGCACGACUCGUUGCGUCGCGCGGAGAAUAAACGUCUUUCUUCGUUUCGCAGAAAUUCCGCCCUCUGCGAGCGUAAAUGUCACAUUUGUCGCGAGAGAUCGAUCGGCGAU